rnacentral:tRNA from 1 species
UAUCUUAUAAUUUAUGUUAAAAUAUUAAAUUGCAAAUUUAAAGAAGUAAUGUUAUUACUAAGAUUU